GACAGAAUAGUUAACUAGGCCUUAACAUUUCUCUUAACCCUGAACAUUCUACCUAGGCCUUAACAGUAUUGAAGUUUCUAAUUAAGCUAAACACACCUUGUCUUUAAAGACUCAGGUUCCUGGGUGUGGGCUAAAAGGGAGAAAAUACUGAGCAUCGAUACUUACAGAGCUUUUGUUGUGAUCAAACUUGGAAACAAACCAGAUGUCCAGUGAUGGGCAAAGGAAUAAACGGUUACAUGAGGCAUGGUAACUUUAGAAGAGGAAAAAUAUGCAUCCGUCUCCCAGGAACUACAUUUCCAGUUAUCUCUGGAAAGAAGCUCUUUUACAGUCGCAACACAAAUCACAGCCAGGAUUCAGAGACGAUUCUACAAGCAUUUUCUUGGAAGUCCCAUUGGUUGAAUUUCGGCAGGUAAUGGUCUGUAAAAGGAAAGCCAAUUUGCCCCUCGAUGAAGAUUACUGUACCAAAUGUACCAGAGAGCUUUAGAAAAUGUGACACGCUUUCUCUUCAACAGUGAAAGAGUCGAUUAGUUUCCUAGCUUUUCCUUUUGUG
rnacentral:lncRNA from 1 species